UGUGCUCUUCCGAUCUGCAAUGGCGAAAGUGUGUUUAUCGCAUGUGUGCAGGGAGAACCAGAUAGCCGUGUUCCGCUGGGAGUGUGUUUGGUGGCGUUGGACGAUAGGAGUGCGGUGAGCCAACGGAGAAUAUAUGUGACUUUGCUCCUGUUUCACGUCGGUCGAGGUUGUGUAUUUAGUCUACGUUGCGCUGGGAGCAGACCCCGAUUGUCCCGCGUCAGCGUAAGUCCCUAUAGAUAGCUUAAUGAAAUCGUUGUUAAGAUAUUUACAGUGUUAAAUAAUAAUAAAUUGUUUAUCAUAUCGUGUGUUGUUACCCAUGUAGAGGGGAGAUAGAGAGCUGUGUGUGUGCUACGUCCGAGAGAGGGACAGGGCUCUCAAGCUACAGGUUAGGAGUAAGUGCACACAUUUACUGUGUUCUGGUUACAGUAUGAGUGGAUUUGGGUUUAACAAUUAUAUGUUUUGCAUAUGCAUGUUACAACCUGACGUGUGUGACAAAGAAUGUCGAUGACGAUGUGAAAAGUGGCUAGAAAUGUGUUCCU